rnacentral:rRNA from 1 species
AUUGAACGCUGGCGGCAUGCUUUACACAUGCGAGUCGAACGGCAGCGCGGGCUUCGGCCUGGCGGCGAGUGGCGAACGGGUGAGUAAUGCAUCGGAACGUGCCCAGUAGUGGGGGAUAGCCCGGCGAAAGCCGGAUUAAUACCGCAUACGACCUGAGGGUGAAAGCGGGGGACCGAAAGGCCUCGCGCUAUUGGAGCGGCCGAUGUCGGAUUAGCUAGUUGGUGGGGUAAAGGCUUACCAAGGCGACGAUCCGUAGCUGGUCUGAGAGGACGACCAGCCACACUGGGACUGAGACACGGCCCAGACUCCUACGGGAGGCAGCAGUGGGGAAUUUUGGACAAUGGGGGCAACCCUGAUCCAGCCAUGCCGCGUGCGGGAAGAAGGCCUUCGGGUUGUAAGCCGCUUUUGUUCGGGAAGAAAUCCUCUGGGCUAAUACCCCGGGGGGAUGACGGUACCGGAAGAAUAAGCACCGGCUAACUACGU